rnacentral:rRNA from 1 species
CUCGCUCGGCGGCCUCUUCGGGUUUCCAGCCGCUAAACCCGUCCACCGACGCCCUUCGAGUUGACCUC